rnacentral:rRNA from 1 species
UUUGAACGUAUUUUUGAAAAAAAUAAAGACCUGUUAAGUGAUUGUAAAUCUAGUUAACUACCCAAACAUGUUUCUUACACAAACAAAAACUUAUUUGAACUACCUGUUUCCUUUUGUAUAAUGAAAGCAGGAUAGAACUUGUAGGAUCCCGCGCGUGCACAAAACAUUAAAAGGUUUAACGAAGGUGGCCAGUACAAAAAAUGUAUAUCGACUACAAUAAACUACUUUACUAACUGAAAAGAAAAACUUAAAAAUUAAAUAUCAGAUAACACGAUCUGGAAGAUUAUUAACUGCAACAUGACGAUAGCCAUUACACUAGGCUUUAGACUUUAACAGUGACCUAAUAUAAAUAUAAAGUAGUUGGUGCUAAACAAUCUGCUUUGAGUCAAAUAGAGAAGAGCAAAAUAAAUAAAACUUCCGAAAGUUUCACAAAAACCUUUCCCUUUAUUAUAAAAGGUACACCCUGCUAAAGAAAAGAAGUAGCAUAAUUAAUAGCCACUUUAUUGGUGGAGAGUUUGAAUGGGCACUCGAGAGGAUUGAUGGACAUUUGUCUUUGUGCCCUUUGUUAUGCAGUAAAUAUAAUAGGUGAAAAUACCUAUAAAUUAAAGAAAGGCGAUAAGACCCUAAAAGCUCUAUAUAUAGUUGUUGGGGCAACAAGAACGUUAACACUUCUUUAAUCUGUUUUUUAAAUUAGUUACUUUAGGGAUAACAGCGUAAUAUCUAUUAUCAAGACCAUAUUAAUAAUAGAGAGUACGACCUCGAUGUUGAACUAAAGGAAAACUAGUGUACAAACUAGUGUCUAUCGUCUGUUCGCCGAUCCUCCUUUACGUGAUUUGAGUUCAAACCGGCGUGAGCCAGGUUGGUUUCUACCUUCUUUAGUUUACUUAAUACCUUAGUACGAAAGGAAAGAGCGUUGGUUACCACCUAAGUUAUAUUUAAUAUUUUCUUGUCGAGAAAAAGAACUUCUAAUUCUGCUAAUAUAGUUUAACAUAAAUAUUUUUCUUGUAAAAAAAAGUCA